rnacentral:rRNA from 1 species
GACAGAGGGUGCGAACGUUGUUCGGAAUUACUGGGCGUAAAGCGCGUGUAGGCGGCAGCGCAAGUCGGGCGUGAAAUCCCACGGCUCAACCGUGGAAGUGCACUCGAAACUGCGCAGCUAGAGUCCUGGAGAGGAAGGUGGAAUGCUUGGUGUAGAGGUGAAAUUCGUAGAUAUCAAGCGGAACACCGGUGGCGAAGGCGCUCUGCUAGGCCGCAACUGACACUGAGGGACGAAAGCUAGGGGAGCGAAUGGG